rnacentral:rRNA from 1 species
AUUGAACGCUGGCGGAAUGCUUUACACAUGCAAGUCGAACGGUAGAGGGGGCAACCCCUUGAGAGUGGCGAACGGGUGAGUAAUAUAUCGGAACGUGCCCAGUCGUGGGGAUAACGUAGCGAAAGCUACGCUAAUACCGCAUACGAUCUAUGGAUGAAAGCGGGGGAUCGCAAGACCUCGCGCGAUUGGAGCGGCCGAUAUCAGAUUAGGUAGUUGGUGAGGUAAAGGCUCACCAAGCCGACGAUCUGUAGCUGGUCUGAGAGGACGACCAGCCACACUGGGACUGAGACACGGCCCAGACUCCUACGGGAGGCAGCAGUGGGGAAUUUUUGGACAAUGGGGGAAACCCGUGAUCCAGCAAUGCCGCGUGCAGGAUGAAGGCCUCGG